rnacentral:rRNA from 1 species
UACGGAGGGUGCGAGCGUUGUCCGGAAUCACUGGGCGUAAAGGGCGCGUAGGUGGCCUGUGGAAGUCUGCGGUGAAAGCCCGGCGCUCAACGCCGGGUCUGCCGUGGAUACUCUCGGGCUCGAGCUUACUAGAGGCAGAUGGAAUUCCGGGUGUAGCGGUGAAAUGCGUAGAGAUCGGCAGGAACACCCAGGGGGAAACCAGCCGACUGGGCAUCUACUGACGCUGAGGUGCGAGAGCGUGGGGAGCGAACCGG